ACAGCAGCAGCCACGGGAAUACGUAGGGUGCGAGCGUUAAUCGGAAUUACUGGGCGUAAAGCGUGCGCAGGCGGUUGUGUAAGACAGGUGUGAAAUCCCCGGGCUUAACCUGGGAACUGCGCUUGUGACUGCACAGCUAGAGUGUGGCAGAGGGGGGUGGAAUUCCACGUGUAGCAGUGAAAUGCGUAGAGAUGUGGAGGAACACCGAUGGCGAAGGCAGCCCCCUGGGCCAAUACUGACGCUCAUGCACGUAAGCGUGGGGAGCAAACAGGAUUAGAUACCCGAGUAGUCCCUGUCUCUUAUAC
rnacentral:rRNA from 1 species